CCACGUUCUUUUAAGAUUUUUGUUUACACUCAUGGAAAUACAAAACAAAAAUAUAAACGAUUUUUAUUCUAUCAGUAUUAAACUAUAAAACAAUUGUGCCUGAACUUGAAUUCAAAUCCAUAGUCGUAAUGUACUAAAUAUAUAAUUUAAUUUGCUCUCAUUUUAUGGAAUUAUAUUGGCACUCAUCAUGAAGCAGAUUUUAAUACGCAUAUGGCAAUGAAUUACAUUUUAUUUUUUUACUUUUGUUCAUAUUUAAUCCAGAUUUCUAUUUCAUUUCGAUUACAUUUUUGUGUUACACAGACUUAUUAUAGACAUAUAAAAAAAAGAAAUGAAAUAUUGCAAUAGUUUAGUGUUUGGUUUAGCUAUUGCUAGUUUAAGUGUAGUUGUUUAUAUUAUUGGUGGCAUAUUUUUUACUACACUCUUAAUCAAUUCCGAAAGAAAUUUGCAACAUAGCAAUACUUUGCCAAUUAUAUUUCUAGUCAUAUGUUUGGUAAUGUCUAUGGUUUCCAGUUUACUUAUUUUUGGCAUAGUUAAGAAACGGCAUUUAUUGAUGAUUCCUUGGAUUAUUUUGGCUAUUGUUGGCAUUAUAUGUGAUGUUAUAUAUUUAAUCAUAAUUUUAUCUAUUGGUAGCAGAGAACAUAUGCUAGUGGAAUCUAUUUCAUAUUUAAUUGGUAUAGCUCUACAAAUAUUAAUUUUCCACCACAUAUUUGUUUUAUAUAAAGAUAUACGUCUAAAGUAUUUUAUUCAACAAGAACAUGAAAUCAUAUGGAGAAAUAAUCAACAAUUGACGGAGAAUUAUUAAUGCCUAAAAGAAAUACUGUCACGUAUAGUUUAGCUUAGCUAUAAUAAUAAUUAUUAAAUUAUUUUGAAUAUAACAAUGUCUGUUUAAACAAUUUUGAACAUUCUUAUAUCACCCCCAAAAUUUAUAAUUAUAAAAACCACAUUUAAUGAAGUUUUUAAUUGUGUUAAAUUUUAUGUUUUUUUUUUUCUGGAUUAUACUUUGUUAUAUGUAUGUGUAUUGACUUAAUGUUGGAAUUUAAUUAUAAAUAUUCUUAUAUACAUAGUAACUCAUAAU